rnacentral:rRNA from 1 species
AUACCGGCUGAACUUAAGCAUAUCAAUAAGCCGGAGGAA